UAUUAUUAUCUUCAAGAAAUGUUUGCAGCCGCACAUUAACCAUUUUCUCUAGCAGUUUUCCCAAGCAAGACGUUAAACUAAUUGGGCGAUAACUUUGUGCCAGCAACGGAUCUUUUCCAGGUUUCGGUAUAGGAAUGACAACGGCCUGUUUCCAUUCCGAGGGGAGUACAGUGAUGAAACAUCUGGUUGUGGAUUUCGUCUUCUCCCGGUGAACAUGACUUGGUGUUACGGAUAGCGAUAUUCAACUCUUCUAAGACGACCACCACGGAACCAUUUUUGCUUUAUUGCCAGGUUUGGAUUUUGGAAUACUGGCGUUCGCAGCGUCUAAUAUAGCAGAUGUAAGAGUUUUUAAACUUAAGCUAUCUAGGGCUGGAGGGACGAACUUACUUGCAAAAAGUUCCCAAUCUGCUUGUGGGAUCUUAAAUCUAGCCACUGAUCUUAUCGUGGGAUUUUUGCCUCUAACAGAAAUGAUUAUGGGAAAAUGAUCGCUGUGAUGGAGAUCAGUUUCCACCUCCCAUUCAAAAUUACAGUAUAUAUUUGGAGAACAUAUAGAAAGAUCAAUUGCGUCGAAUGUUCCGGAUCUCACGUUGAAAAACGUGACCGAACCGUUAUUCAAGAUACUUAAGUUAUCGUUUUCUAUGAGUUCCAAUAACUCUUUGCCUCGGGCAUCAUUUGAGGUAGAGCCCCAAACAAUGUUGUGGGAAUUGAAAUCUCCGACAAGAACAAAGGGUGUU